AAGUCGGCUUCUUCAUCCCAAUUAGAUCGCAGUUUUGAGGAAGAAGACAAGCAGAAUAUAUGGGUUGAUUAUAUAUAUCUUGAAAAGGACAUAUUAUUAAGAUAUAAAAUUAUGAUGUGCAAAGUAAAUGUUGCAAAAAGUUUGAAUAUCUACUCUAGUAGAAGUCCUUCUUGAGAAGCCGUCCAGCCUAUUUCUCCUUUGAACUGCUGCAAUAACAGGGUUCUCACUAGGGUCCCACAGUGAAGUGUCCAAAACUCUCAACUGUUUUUGUUUUCAAGAGUCCCAAUGAGAUUUUCAAGGGUCCCAUAGCCCAUAAAAUGAGAAUGACAGUGUGGUUAAUGUUGCAUACUAAGUUGUAUUUACAGAAAGAAGGGCAUGACCACCCAAGAACAGUGCUCCCUGAAACAGAUUCUAGAGAAAUAUGAUGACAUUUGCAGCUCCAUCACCAUAUGAAAAAGUUAUUUUCAGCUUUUUUAACCAUUCAACAAUUUUCAAACUGUCAACACUUUCAGCAUGCAUUCUAAGUGAAGGAAAAAGAAUAUUUUAUUGUUAUUUUUAUUACAGGUGAUGCACAUCAUGACACUGUACUUGUAAGAAUAUAGUUGGAUUGCAGAUCCCUCUGUGGAAUUUCCAUCCUAUGCAUCAUCUCUGAGGAUUCUAGACAUACACUGUCAAUGUGGAGAAAGUGAAGCCAAGUGUGAUCAAGAACUGUUAAACAAGUUCAAAGUAGUAUUACUAAUUUGUCAUGCCUUCAAAGAAAAGCCAGUUCCCAAAAGAAAUUUUAUUAAUCAGUGAACUGUGUGCCUGUACAUAUCUUUGUUUGAAUUUUAGCUGUGACUUGUUAUUAUCAUGUACAGGUAAAAUCCCUGUGUUUUUCUAUAGUCUGAAUAACAUGUUUUCAAUACUUAUUAAUGUUACAAGUCUGUUAUUUUUUGUUCUUGUCUUACUGCAGGAUUCUGUAAGCCUAAGUAACAUGCAUCAGUGCUGCUCUCAAGUCAUCUUUUCUACCAUAUUUUGAACUGUACUUUUGCUGAGAAAUGUUUGUAAACACCAUGUGUUUUUAUAAUUAGGCUUCAAGUGUGGAGUAUAUUGUAAUUUUAUCAUAUGCAAUAUUAGUCAGAUUAUAAUUACGACAAUUUGUAGAAAGUAAAAGUCAGUAUAUUUAUUUAAGUUACUUGAAGGUACACAACUGUUUCAUAAAACAGAUUUUAAAGUCUCAAUUUUUGAUGUGUAAUUAAAAAUAUUUUUGAAAUAUCUCAAUUGCAGAAUUAUUCAAUAUGCACUGUUGUUAUAUUAUAAUAUAGUAUAUUUUAUAAAGUCUUCACAGUGCAAUUUGAUACAAAUAUCACUGAGAAAUAUUUGGAAUAUAUAAUCAUGUAUUUUCAGGAAUUGGUAUAGUUAGUGAAUACACCCAAUAGGGAGUAUCCCAUUUCAUAUCUUCUUCAGAGAACUAGUAAUGAAAAAGUUAUUCCAUUUAAUUAAAAUCACUAUUCCUGUUCAUGUUCAAAACUGUAUAUAACCUGCACACACACACAUACCACCAUUGCAUUUUAACUAUUUAGAGAAACACACAGAUUUGAGCCAGUCUUUACAAAUAACCCCUUAUG